GUCCUUGCCGUAAACGAUGUAGAUUAGGUGUUGGGAGUAUCGAUCCUCUCAGUGCCGACGUUAACACAUUAAAUCUACCACCUGGGGAGUACGGUCGCAAGACUGAAACUCAAAGGAAUUGACGGGGACCCGCACAAGCGGUGGAGCAUGUGGUUUAAUUCGAGGCUACGCGAAGAACCUUACCUAGGCUUGACAUGAUAGCAGUAGUCCUGAUGAAAGUCGGGGCGACCGUAUCCAAUCGGAGGCUAACACAGGUGCUGCAUGGCUGUCGU
rnacentral:rRNA from 1 species